rnacentral:lncRNA from 1 species
CAGAUUCCUAAAAACCUUUCAUAUGAUGUCUGUAAUACAGUAAGAUCAAAAAUUUACAUCUGUGACCAUUCGGUCAAAAUCAUUUGAUAUGAGCCCUACAUCCCUGAGCAGGGAGCGAGGAGGGGAUAUUUUCAAAACACGCCACAAUUUUGGUCUCCUUCAAUUUAAAUAUUUCAUCUCACACAAAUCUUUUUGGAAUGCUUUGGGCACUUCUGGGUAAAUUUGUCAAGCUAAAAGCUGAUCCAAAUUUAUAAUGGAAAAAUAGACUAACAUGCUUGUUACCUUCAUUUCAUUCAGACCUGUACAGCAUCGUGUUAAACAGAAAAGUAAAGAGGGACUCUUGACUUCCCCAUUUUCUUCUUUCCCAUGGUCUUCAGGCUGAGGAGUACUUCAUGGUCUUGUGCAGGAAAAAGCCUAUGGGUUAUAUGGUUUCCAAUAUGUUGUUUUCUCUUUGAUUCAAGACUCUUCCUUAGACAUCUAUUGAACUUCGUAAUCUCAGACAUCUGCUGAGUUUCAGAAAGCCUUUGUCUCUCAUGUUCUAACCCAGAGUACUUUAUGGUUUUGUUGAUCCUCUACCAGUCUAUGGAUCAUUUCACCUCUUCUUUAUUUUCUCACCAAAGAGGCAGGAAGUUUUAGAAAUGACAAUCCUCACCUCCCUUAUAGGCUACGGGAAUCAAGAAUACUGCCCCCAGCUCAUUUUCCCAUGUCCCACCUGGGUAUGAUUCGGGCCCAGUAUUGAGAUUAAUGAAAGGGUGUGCAAAACGGUAUGUUUGAGAAACAGAUCUUUGGCUUUGCUGCAUCAGGUAUCUCAUAUUGUUUAUCUUUAUGUUGCCAGGCUGAACACAUAUUGUGCAAUGUUGAUUCCCACGGUGGUGAUAACACUAUCUGACAUCUUCCUUUCUAUCCCUGCUCUGUCUUCCUCCUUUCAAAGUCCACCUGACGUGGACUGGUGGGACGUCCAUUCCUUCCUGACCGAAAGGCAAUUACUCCAUGUCAUGUUUCUCUACUACAGGAAAAUGGCAGAGGCAGGGAGGAGGAAAGCUGGUCUACUAUGGGGAGAUCUUCCAGAAUCAGCUGUGGUAGAGACGAGUGGAUGGCCGCACACAGAAAUACUAAUAGACGGAGAUAUGGAUGGGCUGCCUCUCCAUCUUUGCUGGAAUCCUCCCUGGGACAGAAGAGACUGA